rnacentral:rRNA from 1 species
AAAAAAUCGGUGGAUAUCUAGAGGAUGAGGCGCUCGAAGCCGAGGGGAUCCGAGGAUUGCGACGAGGCGAGCAAGGGGAUCCAGCGCCACAAGUGGAUCCCGAUCCAGCCGGCGAGGAGAUCCAGCGGCCACGCGUGAUGCGGGUGAAUCGGUGGCCGGCCGAUGCGGUCGAUCUGCCUGCGAAGUGGAAAGGGUGGGACGCGAUCGACGAUGGCCGGCGCCUCAUCUGCUGGACACUCAACAACGACGCCGCGGCAUUUAGGUUGGGUUGCGGGUGAGCGGUCCAUGGCUCCGCUGCUGUCCGUCGAAAGAGAUGAGAUGAGGUGUGCUGUUUGACCAUCAUACGAAGAGGUAAGACUUAAUGAGCUAGGUUGUUCUGUAUGUCUUGCCAAUUUAUUUAUUUUAGAAUACUAACAAAAAAUAAAUUCAUCUGCUCGUGUCUUUGGAUUGGAGGAUAAUGACUGCUUCCAAAGCAUUUUGCUUCCGGCAAAGUAAUAGUUGUGCAACAUUGAUUAAACAAAUGUCCAGCAAGUCAGAAAUGACCCGGAAGAGAUUUUGUUGUAUUUGAUAGGGCCACUUAUUUCAUCAAUCCAUUGCUUCUACGUGGAGAAUUUACUAUUAUUCAUAUGGCAAAGAAGCACUGAUCUGCAGUUAAAGUGAAGAAGAAAUUCUUGAACCUGAGGAAGAGAAUCAUGUUUUCACAAAAUGAUGAGAAGAUCUGCUAAUAUGGUAAUAAUACACCCCAGUUAAAUAGACAACGUUUUCUGCAUUGUGCGCUCUUGUCUCAAUUGCUGCAAGUACAUUUGACAACAUGCUAUUUGUCCGUUCAAGUUAAUCUGAAGAAUCGGUACUAUUUGUAAGUCUAUUUCAUCCGAUGUUGUCUCUUUAAUUAUUUUUGACAUAUAAUUUUCCUGCUCGGCCAUACCACAAAAUACAAAGCCAAUUUUUUACAUGCUUAUAUGUAUGGUGUAUGGCGUUUAUUUUUCUUUUGGUGGUUCAUUUCUUCUUUGUGGGAAGUAUGUAAUACAUUGAAUGCAAACAUAGCCUAACCUGUAUUCCAGGAUUUUACAUGCUUAUAUGUAUGAUGUCAGCUCUAACAAGGUACAAUAUUUUCUAAAGGAUUGGUGCUAAGUUCUACAUAAUUAUGCAGACAUUGUUUUGAUUUGUUGACCUUAGAACAUGACCUCUCUUUAUUUUCUCUCCUAAGGCGGAGCUCCGUUGAAGCUAUUUCUAUGAUGAAUGAGAUGAGAAGUUAGUCCUUUUAGACAUGGAACAUACAUAAUUUAUUUCAAAAUUGUAUCAUUUGAGACACAAAUAAUAGUUCCGUGAAUUUGAAUCGAUUAGUGACAUAUGAGAAACCCUCACUAGGCCUCAAUGAAGCCUUUUUGCUAUUCAGUCAAAUUUAGUAAUGUUUCUAAGCAAUGUGAUCUUUAUCACAAUCAUUAUGAGACGAGCUUGUGACUUUGAGAGGACACGAUUUCGUUUACCAUGAGUUAAUGGGGGAAAUUCUACAGAAACUUAAAUAUGACAUUCAUGUAAAUUUCGUUUCAUUCUUAGUUUUCUUGACCUAUUAGCUUUGUCAAGGGUCGUCUUUACAUAGUUAUUUCCUCAAUCAUAUAUUUUUAAGAACUUCCGUAUGAACUAUUGCUUCCACUUUUGUGGCCAUUGAUUCCAGAAUGCCGCUCGCUAUGGAUGCACAACAUGGAUGACAUUGAGGCCAUCAGGACACACCAGUUAACCCAGCGCUGACAACAUGCCGAAGGCAAUGCUGGAAAUUGUGUUCCUGUAACACCUAUUUAAUUUUUCUUCUUGUCAGUUUAAUUCUAAAUAUAUACUCAUACCAUUCUAUUGGAUGAAUUAAUGGGACAACAUUGAUUGUUAAGGUUUGCUGGGG